rnacentral:tRNA from 1 species
GCGGGUGUAGCUCAAUUGGUAGAGCGUCAGCCUUCCAAGCUGAAUGUCGACGGUUCGAACCCGUUCAUCCGCU